UCANCCAUAGUUCGCUUUGGAAACUGUCAAACUUGAGUGCAGAAGGGGAGAGUGGAAUUCCAUGUGUAGCGGUGAAAUGCGUAGAUAUAUGGAGGAACACCGGUGGCGAAAGCGGCUCUCUGGUCUGUAACUGACGCUGAGGCUCGAAAGCGUGGGGAGCGAACAGGAUUAGAUACCCUGGUAGUNCACGCCGUAAACGAUGAGUGCUAGGUGUUGGAUCCUUUCCGGGAUUCAGUGCCGCAGCUAACGCAUUAAGCACUCCGCCUGGGGAGUACGACCGCAAGGUUGAAACUCAAAGGAAUUGACGGGGGCCCGCACAAGCGGUGGAGCAUGUGGUUUAAUUCGAAGCAACGCGAAGAACCUUNCCAGGUCUUGACAUCCCGAUGCUAUUUCUAGAGAUAGAAAGUUACUUCGGUACAUCGGUGACAGGUGGUGCAUGGUUGUCGUCAGCUCGUGUCGUGAGAUGUUGGGUUAAGUUCCGCAACGAGCGCAACCCCUAUUGUUAGUUGCCAUCAUUCAGUUGGGCACUCUAGCGAGACUGCCGGUAAUAAACCGGAGGAAGGUGGGGAUGACGUCAAAUCAUCAUGCCCCUUAUGACCUGGGCUACACACGUGCUACAAUGGUUGGUACAACGAGUUGCGAGUCGGUGACGGCAAGCUAAUCUCUUAAAGCCAAUCUCAGUUCGGAUUGUAGGCUGCAACUCGCCUACAUGAAGUCGGAAUCGCUAGUAAUCGCGGAUCAGCACGCCGCGGUGAAUACGUUCCCGGGCCUUGUACACACCGCCCGUCACACCACGAGAGUUUGUAACACCCGAAGUCGGUGAGGUAACCUUUUGGAGCCAGC
rnacentral:rRNA from 1 species